CACGUAGGGUGCGAGCGUUGUCCGGAAUUAUUGGGCGUAAAGAGCUCGUAGGCGGUGUGUCGCGUCGGCCGUGAAAACCUACAGCUUAACUGUGGGCUUGCGGUCGAUACGGGCAUCACUGGAGUUCGGCAGGGGAGACUGGAAUUCCUGGUGUAGCGGUGAAAUGCGUAGAUAUCUGGAGGAACACCGGUGGCGAAGGCGGCAUCCUGGACCGGCAUUGACGCUGAGGCGCGAAAGCUAGGGGAGCAAACGGG
rnacentral:rRNA from 1 species